rnacentral:rRNA from 1 species
UACGGAGGGUGCGAGCGUUGUUCGGAAUUACUGGGCGUAAAGGGCGCGUAGGCGGCCUUCUAAGUCGAACGUGAAAUCCCUGGGCUCAACCCAGGAACUGCGUCCGAUACUGGAAGGCUUGAAUCCGGGAGAGGGAUGCGGAAUUCCAGGUGUAGCGGUGAAAUGCGUAGAUAUCUGGAGGAACACCGGUGGCGAAGGCGGCAUCCUGGACCGGCAUUGACGCUGAGGCGCGAAAGCCAGGGGAGCAAACGGG